rnacentral:rRNA from 1 species
CCUACGGGAGGCAGCAGUGAGGAAUAUUGGUCAAUGGACGAGAGUCUGAACCAGCCAAGUAGCGUGAAGGAUGACUGCCCUACGGGUUGUAAACUUCUUUUAUAAGGGAAUAAAGUGAGCCACGUGUGCGUUUUUGUAUGUACUUUAUGAAUAAGGAUCGACUAACUCCGUGCCAGCAGCCGCGGUAAUACGGAGGAUCCGAGCGUUAUCCGGAUUUAUUGGGUUUAAAGGGAGCGUAGAUGGAUUGUUAAGUCAGUUGUGAAAGUUUGCGGCUCAACCGUAAAAUUGCAAUUGAUACUGGCAGUCUUGAGUACAGUAGAGGUAGGCGGAAUUCGUGGUGUAGCGGUGAAAUGCUUAGAUAUCACGAAGAACUCCGAUUGCGAAGGCAGCCCACUAGACUGCAACUGACACUGAUGCUCGAAAGUGUGGGUAUCAAACAGGAUUAGAUACCCGUGUAGUC